GCAGUCGAGCGGACCGAUGGGAGCUUGCUCCUUUAGGUUAGCGGCGGACGGGUGAGUAACACGUGGGCAACCUGCCCUGCAGACUGGGAUAACUUCGGGAAACCGGAGCUAAUACCGGAUAACACCGAAAACCGCAUGGUUUUCGGUUGAAAGGCGGCUUUUAGCUGUCACUGCAGGAUGGGCCCGCGGCGCAUUAGCUAGUUGGUGAGGUAACGGCUCGCCAAGGCGACGAUGCGUAGCCGACCUGAGAGGGUGACCGGCCACACUGGGACUGAGACACGGCCCAGACUCCUACGGGAGGCAGCAGUAGGGAAUCUUCCGCAAUGGACGAAAGUCUGACGGAGCAACGCCGCGUGAGCGAAGAAGGUCUUCGGAUCGUAAAGCUCUGUUGUCAGGGAAGAACAAGUGCCGUUCGAACAGGGCGGUACCUUGACGGUACCUGACGAGGAAGCCACGGCUAACUACGUGCCAGCAGCCGCGGUAAU
rnacentral:rRNA from 1 species